CGUACGGAGAACGACUCGGCGGCGAUGCCUACACAUGCAAAGUCGAACGGAGUUAUAUUCAGAAGUCUUCGGGGAUGGAAGGAUAAGAACUUAGUGGCGGACGGGUGAGUAACGCGUGGGUAACCUGCCCUUUUGUGGGGAACAACUUCGAGAAAUACGGAGCUAAUACCGCAUAAUAAUAGAGGAUCGCAUGAUUCUUUAAGGAAAGAUGGCCUCUGAAGAUGCUAUCGCAAAAGGAUGGACCCGCGUCUGAUUAGCUAGUUGGAAGGGUAACGGCCUACCAAGGCAACGAUCAGUAGCCGGCCUGAGAGGGUGAACGGCCACAUUGGGACUGAGACACGGCCCAAACUCCUACGGGAGGCAGCAGUGGGGAAUCUUCCGCAAUGGGCGAAAGCCUGACGGAGCAAUGCCGCGUGAGUGAAGAAGGCCUUCGGGUUGUAAAACACUGUCCUUAUCGAAGAGAGGUAGGUAUGUGAAUAAUGGACCUAUAGGACGGUAGAUAAGGAGGAAGCCCCGGCUAACUACGUG
rnacentral:rRNA from 1 species